rnacentral:rRNA from 1 species
GAUGAACGCUAGCGGCGCGCCUAACACAUGCAAGUCGCACGAGAAAGGGGGCAACCCCCGGUACAGUGGCGCACGGGUGAGUAACACGUGGAUGAUCUGCCCAGAAGAAGGGGAUAACCUCUCGAAAGGGGGGCUAAUACCGCAUAGGACCACCGGGGUUUUGGCUCUGUGGUGAAAGGGGGCCUCUGUAUACAAGCUCCUGCUUCUGGAUGAGCCCGCGUCCCAUCAGCUGGUUGGUAGGGUAAUGGCCUACCAAGGCUACGACGGGUAACUGGUCUAAGAGGAUGGCCAGCCACACUGGAACUGAGACACGGUCCGGACUCCUACGGGAGGCAGCAGUGGGGAAUCUUGCGCAAUGAGCGAAAGCCUGACGCAGCGACGCCGCGUGGGUGACGAAGGCCUUCGGGUUGUAAAGCCCUGUGGGGUAGAACGAACUGGCAUCGGGCUAAUAUCCCGGUGUCUUGACAGUACUGCCUUAGCAAGCAUCGGCUAACUCUGUGCCAGCCGCCGCCGUAACAC